rnacentral:tRNA from 1 species
GCCUUCGUGGUGUAGUGGACACGCUGGACGUGUAACCGAGAGGUCCGUGGUUCGAUUCCCGGCGAAGACG